rnacentral:ncRNA from 12 species
UUGCUCGCUAUGGUGCGUGUACCCAAAAGGGCGCAGCGUUGUUGACAACGCAGGACACCUAAGGCGGGCUUUU